rnacentral:rRNA from 1 species
CCUACGGGUGGCAGCAGUCGAGAAUCAUUCACAAUGGGGGAAACCCUGAUGGUGCGACGCCGCGUGGGGGAAUGAAGGUCUUCGGAUUGUAAACCCCUGUCAUGUGGGAGCAAAUUAAAAAGAUAGUACCACAAGAGGAAGAGACGGCUAACUCUGUGCCAGCAGCCGCGGUAAUACAGAGGUCUCAAGCGUUGUUCGGAAUCACUGGGCGUAAAGCGUGCGUAGGCUGUUUCGUAAGUCGUGUGUGAAAGGCGCGGGCUCAACCCGCGGAAGGCACAUGAUACUGCGAGACUAGAGUAAGGGAGGGGGAACCGGAAUUCUCGGUGUAGCAGUGAAAUGCGUAGAGAUCGAGAGGAACACUCGUGGCGAAGGCGGGUUCCUGGACAUUAACUGACGCUGAGGCACGAAGGCCAGGGGAGCGAAAGGGAUUAGAUACCCUGGUAGUC